rnacentral:tRNA from 2 species
GGGCCCGUGGUCUAGAGGUAGGAUACCAAAUUAGCGGCCUAAAACCGCCCUCACACGGCGGGGGUCCCGGGUUCGAGUCCCGGCGGGCCCACCA